GAUGAACGCUGGCGGCGUGCUUAACACAUGCAAGUCGAACGGUGAAGGCGGAGCUUGCUCUGCUGGAUCAGUGGCGAACGGGUGAGUAACACGUGAGCAAUCUGCCCCUGACUCUGGGAUAAGCGCUGGAAACGGCGUCUAAUACUGGAUACGAGCUGCGAAGGCAUCUUCUGCAGCUGGAAAGAACUUCGGUCAGGGAUGAGCUCGCGGCCUAUCAGCUUGUUGGUGAGGUAACGGCUCACCAAGGCGUCGACGCGUAGCCGGCCUGAGAGGGUGACCGGCCCCACUGGGACUGAGACACGGCCCAGACUCCUACGGGAGGCAGCAGUGGGGAAUAUUGCACAAUGGGCGAAAGCCUGAUGCAGCGACGCCGCGUGGGGGAUGACGGCCUUCGGGUUGUAAACCUCUUUCAGCAGGGAAGAAGCGAAAGUGACGGUACCUGCAGAAGAAGCACCGGCUAACUACGUG
rnacentral:rRNA from 1 species